GUGUGCUUAGGUGCCCGAGCUACUGAGGGUCUAAGUCCGGGCAGCCGAAGAGUGUGGUAGGUAACGGUCGUCAGCGCAAGGGUCAUUUCGUCGCUGGGAAGGGACGGCCCUCGCCCGCGGUGAUGGUGCCUCAAAGAGUUGCUGAGAGCUAAAUUAAUUGAAUGUGGCUGGAAGGAUCAGUUGAAGGCACACUGUAAAGAGGUAAUUAAAGAAAAAGGACUAGAACACGUUACUGUUGAUGACUUGGUGGCUGAAAUCACUCCAAAAGGCAGAGCCCUGGUACCUGACAGUGUAAAGAAGGAGCUCCUACAAAGAAUAAGAACAUUCCUUGCUCAGCAUGCCAGCCUUUAAGAUUGAAUUAGAUUGUGUUGUUGUGGUUUUAUUUCUGAAAGUAAAACUUGCCAUAAAUUAGAAAACAAUUUCCCAAAAUAAAAUCCUUUUUUGUAUGAUGGUAUACAGUUUUCAGUAAUGAUGUAUACAUUGUAUUGAUUUUUUUCCCUAAAUGUGUUAUUUUAAUAAAUAUCUCAUGAAUGAGUUUGAA
rnacentral:sRNA from 2 species